GAUGAAGAACGCAGCGAAAUGCGAUACGUAAUGUGAAUUGCAGAAUUCAGUGAAUCAUCGAGUCUUUGAACGCACAUUGCGCCCCCUGGUAUUCCGGGGGGCAUGCCUGUCCGAGCGUCAUUGCUGCCCUCAAGCACGGCUUGUGUGUUGGGCCUCCGUCCUCCUCCCGGGGGACGGGCCCGAAAGGCAGCGGCGGCACCGCGUCCGGUCCUCGAGCGUAUGGGGCUUCGUCACCCGCUCUUGUAGGCCCGGCCGGCGCUUGCCGACACAUCAAUCUUUUUUCCAGGUUGACCUCGGAUCAGGUAGGGAUACCCGCUGAACUUAAGUAUAUCAAUAAGCGGAGGA
rnacentral:misc_RNA from 1 species